GUGCUCGCUUUGGCAACACAUAAUUAAAUUGGAAUGAUAUAGAGAAGAUUAUCAUAGCCACUGCGCAAGGAUGACCCAUAAAUAAGUGAAGAGUUUCGUAUUUUU